rnacentral:sRNA from 1 species
AUUAUUAUAAAGGUGGUGCAGUAUCCUAGUCGGUAAUGCUAUCUCUGAAGACGGGCCUAAAAAUCCGUUAAAGGGCACAUCGAUGAAACUUCUUGUGUAGGCUUCUGACGCCCAGUCGGGGGUCUAUGCUGGGAGGUAAGAAAGCCGGGCAGCUGACAACGGCAUGUCAACCCUGACCCUUCUUUCGUGGAGACCUGAACGGGUGGUUGCAUUCCCUCUGCGCAGAUACACAGCUUGCGUUGUGGAGGAAAAGAGCCACUCCUCAGGAUUAAACCUGUAUUGCGGGAUUUACUGUGUACAGUGUAGCCUGCCUUGAGUGGUGGGGGUGAAUAUCGGAACACAGGCACGGAGCUAAGGCCAUGUGAAGUGCUAUGAUCGCCGGUUGAAACCUUCAUUGCAAAAGAGGCUAGGAAAUAGCAGAGCUGUUGAGGAAAGCUCCUAGGCUGACGCAUUGUUCGGGCAUAUCAGGGAUUACAGUGUGGUCUCAGUGGCGAUCAGGGGGCCUUGCAAAAGAGGCACGCGGACUUAAUGGGAAACCGCUUCUUUUUCCGGUGACGGGGAGCGUCUGCGGGAGAAAUUCAUCCUGACCUCAAGCCAUAAAGUUUACUUGAUAUGUUGCCACU